rnacentral:lncRNA from 1 species
CGUACAGACUUCAUAAGUACUUGACUAUACCCAAUAGCCUUCCAUCAUUAUAUUAGAAAUGCAUGUAGUCUAACAUCAAAGUACAGUGAGUUACUUGCAAGUCACUAUGGUUAUCUCAGGUCUAAGAGACACUUAUGCCCAUAUGCUUUAUGAGCCGCUCUUGAUAGUAGAGCACUCUGCAGGUGAGUCACUUAUUCGGUGAUGAUAUACUCCUAUAUCUCAUCUGUAUGCCAUACCAGUGUCUUCAUAUUCCUUGGUUAAGAGGACAACCAAC